AGCGGUAUUCGUCCUUCGGGACGGAGAGAGCGGCGUACGGGUGCGGAACACGUGUGCAACCUGCCUUUAUCUGGGGGAUAGCCUUUCGAAAGGAAGAUUAAUACCCCAUAACAUAUGAUACGGCAUCGUAUUAUAUUGAAAACUCCGGUGGAUAGAGAUGGGCACGCGCAAGAUUAGAUAGUUGGUGAGGUAACGGCUCACCAAGUCAGUGAUCUUUAGGGGGCCUGAGAGGGUGAUCCCCCACACUGGUACUGAGACACGGACCAGACUCCUACGGGAGGCAGCAGUGAGGAAUAUUGGACAAUGGGUGAGAGCCUGAUCCAGCCAUCCCGCGUGAAGGACUAAGGCCCUAUGGGUUGUAAACUUCUUUUAUACUGGGAUAAACCUACUUACGUGUAAGUAGCUGAAGGUACAGUAUGAAUAAGCACCGGCUAACUCCGUGCCAGCAGCCGCGGUAAUACGGAGGGUGCAAGCGUUAUCCGGAUUUAUUGGGUUUAAAGGGUCCGUAGGCGGAUCCGUAAGUCAGUGGUGAAAUCUCAUAGCUUAACUAUGAAACUGCCAUUGAUACUGCGGGUCUUGAGUGAGAUUGAGGUAGCUGGAAUAAGUAGUGUAGCGGUGAAAUGCAUAGAUAUUACUUAGAACACCAAUUGCGAAGGCAGGUUACCAAGUCUUAACUGACGCUGAGGGACGAAA
rnacentral:rRNA from 1 species